AUUUAAUAUGGCAGAUUAGUGCAAUGGAUUUAAAUUCCUUAAAUAAAGAAACGAACUCUUUUAUUAAAA
rnacentral:tRNA from 1 species